rnacentral:RNase_P_RNA from 1 species
UGUGGGGGAAGCUCACAUAGAGGUCACAUGCAGGUUGCUCAUCCUCACCAAUCACUUGGGGAAGGUCUGAGACAAGAGCCAAUCAUGCCCUAGCAGGGUAUCACCUGAUCUGGGUGAUUAGUGCACAGAGAUAUGAGCCAUUGUGAGUUGUCUUUACAGGAGAAACCAGCCAGUGCGCUCUCCAGCACUACUGGUGGAUGUGACCUCACUGGUUUGGAAACACUCAUGGUGGCAUAGUGCAAUGUGUGAGUUGGAGUACACUCCAGAACCCAAUUGAGACUACCUCUGCCACA